AUAUUUUUUUAAGAAAAUCUUUCAAUUAAUUUUCUGAGAUUAUAGUCAAAAUAAUAUAAAAGUGCAUGAUUCAUUUACCUAAGCAUAUCAAUCUACAUAAAAACAUAAACUUGUGUUAAUUAUAUUUUUCUAAAGAAAAUCUUUCAAUUAAUUUUUUGAGAUUAUAGUCAAAAUAAUAUAAAAGUGCAUGAUUCAUUUACCUAAGCAUAUAAACAUAAACUUGCAUCAAUUAUAUUUUUGUAAAGAAAAUCUUUCAAUUAAUUUUCUGAGAUUAUAGUCAAAAUAAUAUAAAAGUGCAUGAUUCAUUUACCUAAGCAUAUAAACAUAAACUUGCAUUAAUUAUGUUUUUUUAAAAAAAAACUUUUUAAUUCAUUUUUUGAGAUUAUAGUCAAAACAAUAUAAAAGUGCAUGAUUCAUUUACCUAAGAAUAUAAACAUAAACUUGCAUUAGUUAUAUUUUUUGUAAAGAAAAUCUUUAAAUUAAUUUUCUGAGAUUAUAGUUAAAAUAAUAUAAAAGUGCAUGAUUCAUUUACCUAAGCAUAUCAAUCUACAUAUAAACAUAAACUUGCAUUAGUUAUAUUUUUGUAAAGAAAAUCUUUCAAUGAUUUUCUCAGAUUAUAGUCAAAAUAAUAUAAAAGUGCAUGAUUCAUUUACCUAAGCAUAUGAAUAUUAGUGUGAAAGUUUUAUUUUCUUUCAGAUUGCCUUGUCAAGAUAUAAUUUGUAUAUUGAAACAGAUUUUUCAAAAUGUAAUAUAUAUAAAUUAAAAUUGUUAUUAUGGACUAAAUGUUUUGAAUAAUCUUAGUCUGAAUAAUUCAGCUAAAUAUAUUUACUUUAUUCAGUUAUUUAUAUUAAUUGUUUUGUAAAUUUGUGUGUUUACAUUAAAUGCCUUCAUGGCUAGAUAACAACUACUCCCUCCGUUCCUUAAUAAUAGACUUUCUAGGAAAAACGUUCGUUUCAAAAAGAUGUAUUUUUUUAGUUUUCUAUAAAAAAAUUGUAAACUUCAAGAAAAUUAAUUGACUUUAUUAAAUUAUUAUUGGUUAAAUGUUAUUGAAAAUUGAAAAUUACAGAAAUCGAUACAUUUAUUAUGGUAGUUUAAUGUGUUUUUUUAAUUAAUUAUUACUUUUGUAAUAUAUCAAGAAAAUAAUGUCCAAUAUAUUUAUUAUAAUAUAUUCUUAUGGUCAUUCCAAUCUUUCGUAAAAAUAUAUAUUAUGAUUUUCUCUUAUAUUAGCAAACACAGACAAGACAAGUUUCACAAUAAUAUAUGAAAUGUAAAUAUGUGCACACCAAGUUUUUCUUGAUUUGCGUUAACACGCUUAAGAAAGAUUGGAACCCUAGUCUUGGAUUGAGACAUGUUCUCCCUGUUGUGAGGUGCUUACUAAUCGAGCCAUUUCCAGAAUCUGCAUUAAACGAACAGGCUGGAAAGAUGCUACUUGAGAACUAUGAAGAGUACGCUAGGCAUGCUCGGCUUACACGGGUAUCCAUGCUAAACCAAAACCUAAGUUCAAAACAGGAGCUAUCUCAGAGUCAACAACGGCUCUAAAUGUUGGCCAGCCCAACAACGAGACGCCUGCUGCAAUACCCUCUUCAGUGGCAGACAUCAAUAGAGUAAUAACAGCGACUGAACAAAUUGCUAACGUGCCUGUAGCAGCAGCAGCAGGAUCUGCAAGUGUGGCCACUACGACACAGAAAAGAGAAGCCGGUUUGGCCAAGGUUCAGGCAGACAAGAAGAAGGUAGAUGCCAGAAAGAAGAGCUUGAAGAGACUAUGAUGAUACUUCUCAAUUAGUGUCAUUUAUCUUAUCUCCAUCUCAUAAUGUUUGGAUUCUUCUGUCAUGUCAUCAUGACUCUGCCCCCUUUUUGCUCAACUCUUUUCCUAUCAAAGUUGGAGUGACUAUUAGAUAUUUCUAAAAAUAUAAAACAAAUCCAUAUAUUAUAUGCAGCCA